rnacentral:rRNA from 1 species
AGNGANGAAGUCNGUAACAAGGUUUCCGUAGGUGAACCUGCGGAAGGAUCAUUGUCGAAACCUGCAAAGCAGAACAACCCGCGAACAUGUAAAAAUAUAAAGGCGUCUGUGGUAUUUGGUGUUUGGCCGAUUCUUCGGAUGCCAUGUUAAUGUGUCUUUAGUUUGCCAUUUGAGUUUCAACGAUUACACAUUGACAAAAUAACAACAACCGGCACGGAAUGUGCCAAGGAAAAGUAAACAUAAAAAGGAAUGGUGUCGUGCAUCAUCGUUCACGGUGAUUGCUAGGUAUCUUGCUUCUUAUAAUUAUAAACGACUCUCGGCAACGGAUAUCUCGGCUCACGCAUCGAUGAAGAACGUAGCAAAAUGCGAUACUUGGUGUGAAUUGCAGAAUCCCGUGAACCAUCGAGUUUUUGAACGCAAGUUGCGCCCAAGGCCUUUUGGUUGAGGGCACGUCUGCCUGGGCGUCACACAUCUUGUCACCUCCCAACACACACCUUUUAACGAGGAUGUUGUAUUGGGGGGUGGAGAUUGGUCUCCCGUUCCUAAGGUUCGGUUGGCUUAAAUAAGAGUCCCUUUCGAUGGACGCACGAUUAGUGGUGGUUGACAAGACCCUCUUAUUGAGUCGUGUGUAAAAAGGAGCAAAGGAAGAUCUCUUAAACACCCUAAUGUGUCGUCUAGUAUGAUGCUUUGAUCGCGACCCCAGGUCAGGCGGGACUACCCGCUGAGUUUAAGCAUAUCAAUAAGCGGAGGA